UAGUUGAAAGAUAUGAAACUUUUAAAAUUAGUUGUAAAAGAAGAGGUAGAGAGACUUAAAAUGACUUUAUUAGAAACUAUAAAUAAAGAUUUACAUACUCUUGAAUUUAACCAAGAAUAUGAUUUCUUAUAGAGGUCAAUAGUGGCAAAAUAUCCAUGUAGCCGACCCUAGACAAUUGGGACUUUAUGGCUAAAGCUUUGUUGUUGCAUUGUAUUGACAAUAAGUAUCAAACCAUUGGCCAACUAGGUCAAAGGUGCAGCACUUAAGACAAUCCUGAUUCCUACAUGCAUAAUAGCUGAAAAGUAUAAAACAACACCUUUGAGCCACAUGCCACCACGCUCUAUAUCAAUCCCUAAAUUUCCUUGAUUUUGAUUAGCUAGGAAUGUAGCCCACUUGUUGAUGAAAACUGAUGUCAAACUUUUCAUGAAUAUUGUCCACUUAAAGUUGAUAUAGGAUUGAUGACUAAUGAAAGUUCUCCAAGCUGACCCUGUCUUGACGGGAAAAAGGUUUGACUGAUAAUGAUGAUUAGUGAUUACAAUAUCCAAUUGGAUCCACCCUUUUCCCAAGGCAUCUUUUUUCUUUUGCGAAUGUAUC
rnacentral:lncRNA from 1 species